rnacentral:lncRNA from 1 species
AUUCAUCUAAUACUAAAGCAAAAAGCUGGAGUAAAAGAGUUGAAUUGCCAGAUUUUUCCCCGCUAAUAACAGGAAGAGUUCAAGAUUUGAACUUUAACUAUAGUAAUUUAUAUCACAGGUCUGACAGAAGGUGAGAUGGGUGCUACCCCAAGUCUUCACACUAACAGAACAAAUAGCAGCUUCAAGGAAUAUAUGAGCGUUUAACCUGACUCUGAGAAACUCUGGAAACAGUUAAGAAAUAUAGCACAUUGGGAAUAGCAGAAGGGGAGUUAUACUGAAGCUACUACACAUGAUACAGUGGUUUAACACAUUUGCAGAGUGCUGUUGACAUCCAGAGUGACUCCGGUUAUGUGAAUGAUUUAACCAAAUGAAGGACAACAUUCUCUGAAAUAACAAAGGCUAUUUCAAGAGAGUCCUACUGGUGUUAAGAAUGAAACAAAAAGUAAGAAGAACAGAAUCCUGGCUUUGUGCAAAGGGAAAUAACAAAUAAGAUAAAUACUGUGGUACUGUAUGUUUUAAUGGAAGCAGUCUCAUGGUGGAGAUAAAAACACGGAAGGCUACUAAGAAUUGUAUCUCCUCUGUCUUGUGCUGUUAAACAUCUCAGAGGUUCUGCUGCUUCCAAGCCUAUCAUUGAAGAACAAGUGGCUGCAGAGACAAGCUCUAGCAUCACUGCUACCUGUCACAGCCAACACACAAUAUCAUUUUAAUUCGCGCAUACUAAAGAGCAAUAAUAACGAAGUUGAAGAAGCGCCUUUUUGGAUCUUUAAAUCACAAAAAUAACCACAUUAUUGUGAGCAAUAUUUAGCUUCUCUAAAGUUUACCAACUUCUGUAGGAAGUUUGUCUAUAAAGCUCACCAAAAAUGUCAGGUACUUUACCUUUUGGAUGUUUACAAGCUACCAGCUUAAAAGAGAUCACAGAAUGAACCAAGGGGCUGGGGGGAUUGUUUUGUUUUGUUGUUGUGCUAUCUCAGUGACUCAGGUAAAUCGUCAUCUAUGUGUAUGAACUGAGCUAAAUUAAAAUAAAUCACUAAGCUUAUUCAAG